CGUAGCGACGAUGGGGGCCCGGACAGCCUCCCGCAGUCGCGAGGCGGUCUCGUUCUCGCGUCCGCGCGAGAAGAGCCGUCCUCCGAGCUCACGCGCUAGCACCCGAAAGAUGGUGAACUAUGCUUGACGAGGGCUGAGUUAGGGGAAACCCUGAUGUAAGCCCGUCAUCGAUUCUGACGUGCAAAUCGAUCGUCUGAGUUACGUAUAGGGGCGAAAGACCAAUCGAACCAUCUAGUAGCUGGUUCCUUCCGAAGUUUCCCUCAGGAUAGCUCGCGCCGCUCUAGCUAGUAACAUGUGGUAAAGCUAAUGACUAGAGGUAUUGGGACCGAAACGGCCUCAACCUAUUCUCAAACUUUCAAUGUGUGUGAGAUCGGACGGCUUGCGGUGACUCACGUCGACGAAGCCGCGCUCGAACUCGGGACGCGACGAUCGUCCCGCCGCAAUAACGCGGCGCGCAGUGGGCCGAUUUUGGUAAGCAGAAACGGCGAUGUGGGAUGAACCAAAUGCGAAGCUAAAGCGUCAAAGUCAACGCUCAUGG
rnacentral:rRNA from 1 species